CUCCGCUCGCAGGCCCCGGGCCCCAGGAAGGCCUGCUUCUCCCACCCCCAUCAGCAGACCACCUGGGCAGAGCUUCCCCUGAGCCUGGCUGUGUCCUGCCAGCCACAGCAGUGCCCACCGCACGCACCCCUGCCUGCCAGCACUUGGAGAGGCUGGCCCGAGGCCAGAAGCGGCACCUGCAUCCCCAGGAGACAUGCCAGCCCCUUCUCUGCGCAAUGUCCACCCAGCACCCAAAAGGCAGGGCCCCUGUUGUGCCGUCCACACCCAACUAGAGAACGUGGCCUCUGGACCCGGGCUCUGGGGGCACAGUCUCAGCUUAGACAUCCAUCCCCAACCAGGGCAGGAAAGUUUGCAGGGGGCGGCCCCCAGAUCCCUCAGCCGGCACCUGCAGCCUCCAAGAGAGCCCAGGACCUUUCCCAUACCAUCCUACACCCAUACCCCGGCCCGACCCCUCCAAGAUCAGGGCCGAGGUCUGGACCUCAGAAGCAGCUCGACCCACCAGGCGGCGGCGGAGGCCGGCACGAGGGGAGCCGCUCGCGCCCCCUCCUCGCUGGGGCCCGGACCCGCCGCCCAGGGCAGCGGCGCCCCCGCGCGUUCACGGAGCCCCGGGCGCAGCAACAGGAGCGGCGCGGCACCUACUGUGCUUCCGCGGGGCGGCUCCCGCGUCCAUUGUCUCCGAAACGGCGGCGGCGGCGGGGGGCCGCGGCAGUCCGGGCUGGGGCGCUGUCAGCGGCCGGCUUAGGGCUCGGGCUGGGGCUGGGGCUCAGGCUCGGGCGGCAUCGCCCCGCCGACUCGGAAGCCCGCGGCGGGCUGUGCGCGCGGCGGGCUCGGCGCGCUGACACUGCGCCCCGUGGAGGCGCCGCGCGCGGAAAGCGCUGUCACUCGUGCCUCCCGCACCACACCCCCUGCCCGCCCCGCGCGGGGAGGGGGCCGGGGGCGCGGGCUCGCGGCCGGCGCAGAGCUACGGGCGCCGCCGGCCGUGGAGCCGGAGCGCAGAGCGCGGGGCGCCGGGCGCAUAGUGGGGCCAACCCGCCGGCCCCGCGCUGGCCCGGCCAAAGUAUAAUACAUUCCGGGCAAGGAUGCGCCCGCAGCCUCCCCGCCCCGCCCCCACGUCCCCCCUCCGGGCCUCGGGUAGGCCCGGGCCGCGGGACCGGGAGGGGGGCGGGGCCGAGAACCGCUUCCCCAUCGAGAGGCAGCGCACUUGUGGAGCCAGCCGGCAGUCGGGCGUGUGCCAGGCGUUGCCUUCCCACCACACUCCCAUCCACCGCCACCCUGGUGCUUGAAGCAGGGACCUGGGCCACCCCUCACCCAAGGCAUAAGGUGGCACGUGCAGAAACCUGCAAGAGUGCCUGGAGCUGGUGGGGGAGGGGUGGCAGCCCAGCCCCAGAGCGGUUCCUGGGCAGGACACCAGGCACCCCCACCCCUCAGCUCACACCAGGGGGCCGAGGGCCCUGA
rnacentral:lncRNA from 1 species